GCAAGUCGAACGGAAACGAUGGGGGCUUGCUCCCAGGCGUCGAGUGGCGGACGGGUGAGGAAUGCAUAGGAAUCUGCCCAGUAGCGGGGGACAACUCGAGGAAACUCGAGCUAAUACCGCAUACGCCCUACGGGGGAAAGCGGGGGACCUUCGGGCCUCGCACUAUUGGAUGAGCCUAUGUCAGAUUAGCUUGUUGGUGGGGUAAUGGCCUACCAAGGCGACGAUCUGUAGCUGGUCUGAGAGGACGAUC
rnacentral:rRNA from 1 species